rnacentral:misc_RNA from 1 species
GGUUACCGAUGUUGAUUGGCCCAGUGUUAUCCCCUUCCAUUAGACGGAUAAGUCCAUCAACCAUAUCAGAGACAUAACAGAAACUGCGAGUCUGUGUCCCGGGAGCUUGAACAGUUAAUGGUUCAUCCCGAAGUGAUUGAGCUAUAAAGUUGCUGACUACACGCCCAUCGUCAAUAUUCAUACGAGGUCCAUAAGUGUUGAAAAUUCUAGCAAUUCGUAUUUCAAUCCCAUGCUGCCGGUGGUAGUCAAACAUCAAUGUCU